UCGCUAUAAAUCUAAAUCCAAACAUGUAAAACUUAAGAAACUGAGUCUUGUCUCUUCUCGUCUCUCUAUUCAUCUCUGGUGACAGAAUUCAGCCAACCGUACGUAAGCGGAAUCAUAUAUAUACUGAUGAGGAGUUGAGGACCGAGCUUUCAAGCCAACAGCAAUUUUCUCUACUUAGAGCAAAAAGUUUUACGCCCCCAACAUGAACUGCAAUUUCCUCGAGUUUUUUCUAGGUAAGGUUUGAUUGAGCCUGAUUACAAAAGAGGACGAAUCAUAUGGGGACCAAGAUAAUAUGCAAUAGCAAGAGGUUGAAAGCAAGCAAGACUAUGAAGUAACUAGUAUUAAGAGGUCCGAUCAACUAAAGAAGGAAGCUUGCAUAAGCUCUAAACUUUGUUUCAUUAAUUGGUUUGUUGUUAGUGGCUUUACAUAUAUCAUGGUUAAUUAUUUAGACCAUCCUCAAUGAGAGGUUCUAAAAUGUGUGGAAUUCUUAAAAAAAUUAAUAAAAAAAUAAAAAUAUUGAAAAAAGAAGAAAGAGAAUGAAGAAUGGCUCUUAUAUAAGGGCAUAUUUAUGGAUAUAUCUUUAAAGAUAGAUAUUAUGAUAAUUAUAAUAGUAUUAUAAUAAGGUAAGAGAGAGAGAAAGAUAGAGAGAAUAUGAUGAUAGG